rnacentral:lncRNA from 1 species
GAAUAGCCAAGGGAGGCGAAACAACACUUCCGAAGAAUUACACUUAGGGGUGGUAAAAGGGUUCAAAUUUAUCCUAGCAAAUUUAAGGAUCCAGUUCAAUAAGAGCCGAGUCAUAAUAAUAUAUGAUUUUGGUAGAGCUGAGUUGAAUUGUGAAGGAGAUAUGAGGGCCAUAAUCCAUUACCACCCUAAGUACACUAUUUAUCAAUUGAAGAGGACGUAAUUAACUGCGCCCUUUGUUAGAGGGAAGUAGAGAGAAGAAGCAGGGAACUACAAUGCUGACCAUGGAUGUACU